rnacentral:tRNA from 1 species
GGUGGGUUGGCAGAGCGGCCGAAUGCGCAGGUCUUGAAAACCUGAGUGCCGAUGAUCUCGGCACCGUGGGUUCGAACCCCACACCCACCGCC